AGUCAUCCAGUGUAGUGGUAGCACACUUGUUCAACAUAAUUGGUGCAAUAAAAUGUUCGUGCAAGAGAUCCUUGUUCGAUUCGGGGGUUGGCUC